GCAAAACUAAGCUUUUCCUCUUUCCUUGUUCACGUCAGAGUUGGGCAGAGAGAAAGGGAGCCUCGUUCAGCUCUUCCCCUCCACGUUUCCAUCAUGCAAAGGCCAACUCCUUCUAGAGAACCAUCUCAGACCUUCAAAAGAGAGAACCCAGGCCAUAAAUCGUCAUUCACCCUUCUCUUCUCACCUUUCCUCUCGUCCCUGGACACAUCAGUCUGUUUACGAGCCCCAAAACGCCUAGUUAGAGACCUCCGAUCAAAAAACUUUCUACACCAAAGUUGUUCGUCUAUGUCUCCUCUAUCUAGCCUCAAAAUUACAGCUCCAUUGGAGUCGAUUUUAGUCCUGUACACCCCUCGAAGCUGAAGCUGUUCUGAAACGAGCCUGUUCCGGAUUUCUGCUUGAAUUCCCUCUCUUGCUCUACCCGAAUCCCCAACACCUUGCUUGAGACUGAUACCAACAGUUGGUAAGAUUCUUAAACUAUCAAGUUCCUAAUUCAUUCCUCAAUUUUUAGGCUCAAUACGUUCAAAACAACCCAUCUACAUAUAGAGCAGUCUCUGUUUCACUUUGCAUGUUCGAGAUUGAGCGAACUUCUUGGCUUGCGGCUGGACUCGAUCCAACCAGCUCCCUCAGCUCUCUUUCCUGUUGAAAUCCUCAAGAGAAACUCACAUUUUUGGAUUAGUCUUUGGCUUGAUAUCUUGGUAGGAUCUUGUGAAGUGGUGGUUGCUACAAGGUUGCAUUGAGGCCAAGUGCUGCAAGAGAAAGCUCGAGUUCCAGUUUGUUUUGCAGGCUGUUGUUGUCGAAGCUUGGGUACGGAGGAUAAUCCUUGGAGGCCAAAUUUUGUUCUAUUUAAAGUUUAUUUUAUUUGGCUUGUUUGAUUUCAUUAAUUUUUUUUGUUACGUUAUGUAUGGUUGAUGAUGUGUGUGAUUGCUUACCACCAAAGUGGAACCCUAGGGUUAGAACCUCCAUUUGAGUUUAGGUCCUAGUGGGCUAGACCUAGAAGACUCACAUAAAUUACCAUUUAAUGAACUUAAUGCAAACUUGGGCUAAGAACUAAAAAUUGACAUAGGUUCUAAAACUCAACUCA